GCCGUUGUAGCUCAGGGGUAGAGCACUUCCUUGGUAAGGAAGAGGUCAUGAGUUCAAAUCUCAUCAACGGCUCUA
rnacentral:tRNA from 1 species